AGAAGGUGAAAAAUGUGUCGUUGGAAAACAAAAUAGGAAAAAAAUCAAACAGUAAAAAAGGAAGAAUAAAAAUUCCAAAUAGAUUAAAAUGGUAUAAGAAACGUCCGGCAUAAAGAAGGAAAUAAACAUAUUUCAAUACCAAGGCAAAGAUGAAAGCAUGAUGGGUGCAUCAUAAAUUCACAACUUAUUGGGAUGUUGGAGAAUGAACCUAAUGAGUAUAACCCAGUAAAGAAAAAC
rnacentral:lncRNA from 1 species